UGGGGAAUAUUGGACAAUGGGCGCAAGCCUGAUCCAGCCAUGCCGCGUGUGUGAAGAAGGCCUUUUGGUUGUAAAGCACUUUAAGCGAGGAGGAGGCUACUUGGAUUAAUACUCUAAGAUAGUGGACGUUACUCGCAGAAUAAGCACCGGCUAACUCUGUGCCAGCAGCCGCGGUAAUACAGAGGGUGCGAGCGUUAAUCGGAUUUACUGGGCGUAAAGCGUGCGUAGGCGGCUUCUUAAGUCGGAUGUGAAAUCCCUGAGCUUAACUUAGGAAUUGCAUUCGAUACUGGGAAGCUAGAGUAUGGGAGAGGAUGGUAGAAUUCCAGGUGUAGCGGUGAAAUGCGUAGAGAUCUGGAGGAAUACCGAUGGCGAAGGCAGCCAUCUGGCUUAAUACUGACGCUGAGGUACGAAAGCAUGGGGAGCAAACAGG
rnacentral:rRNA from 1 species